ACGGAAGGCAGCAGUGAGGAAUAUUGGUCAAUGGCCGGAAGGCUGAACCAGCCAUGCCGCGUGAAGGAAUAAUGUCCUAUGGAUUGUAAACUUCUUUUGUACGGGAGCAAUAAGGUCUACGUGUAGGCCGAUGAGAGUACCGUACGAAUAAGCAUCGGCUAACUCCGUGCCAGCAGCCGCGGUAAUACGGAGGAUGCAAGCGUUAUCCGGAUUUAUUGGGUUUAAAGGGUGCGUAGGCGGUAGUGCAAGUCAGCGGUGAAAUGUCCACGCUUAACGUGGAAAGUGCCGUUGAAACUGCAUCACUGGAAUACGGAUGCCGUGGGAGGAAUGUGUAGUGUAGCGGUGAAAUGCUUAGAUAUUACACAGAACACCGAUUGCGAAAGCAUCUCACGAAUCCGUCAUUGACGCUGAGGCACGAAAGUGUGGGGAUCAAACAGGAUUAGAUACCCUGGUA
rnacentral:rRNA from 1 species